rnacentral:tRNA from 1 species
CAGAAAAUAGUUUAGUUUAGAAUACCACCUUUGGGAGGUGGCGGUGGAGGUUAAAAUCUUUCUUUUCUGG